AUCGAACGCUGGCGGCAGGCUUAACACAUGCAAGUCGAGCGCCCCGCAAGGGGAGCGGCAGACGGGUGAGUAACGCGUGGGAAUCUACCCAUCUCUACGGAAUAACGCAUGGAAACGUGUGCUAAUACCGUAUACGUCCUUCGGGAGAAAGAUUUAUCGGAGAUGGAUGAGCCCGCGUUGGAUUAGCUAGUUGGUGGGGUAAAGGCCUACCAAGGCGACGAUCCAUAGCUGGUCUGAGAGGAUGAUCAGCCACACUGGGACUGAGACACGGCCAGACUCCUACGGGAGGCGGCAGUGGGGAAUAUUGGACAAUGGGCGCAAGCCUGAUCCAGCCAUGCCGCGUGAGUGAUGAAGGCCCUAGGGUUGUAAAGCUCUUUCACCGGUGAAGAUAAUGACGGUAACCGGAGAAGAAGCCCCGGCUAACUUCGUGCCAGCAGCCGCCGUAAUAC
rnacentral:rRNA from 1 species